rnacentral:tRNA from 1 species
UCCCUGGUGGCUCAGGGAAAGCAUCUGCCUACAAUGCAGGAGACCCAGGUUCGAUCCCUGGGUCGGGAA